AAAUCAUGCAUCGGGUAAUUUCUAGUUAAUUCCUUGAAACGCUCCCAUGCUUCAUAUCAUAUCUCAUCUUCAGAUUGCCUAAACGAUGUAAUGUCGUUCCUAAGCUU
rfam:Gossypium raimondii Chr03_contig_301, whole genome shotgun sequence.